AUUGAACGCUGGCGGCAGGCCUAACACAUGCAAGUCGAACGAGUGGCGGACGGGUGAGUAAUGUCUGGGAAACUGCCCGAUGGAGGGGGAUCACUACUGGAAACGGUAGCUAAUACCGCAUAACCUCGGAUGCGCCCAUAUGGGAUUCGCUAGGAGGGGGGGGAACGGCUCCCCUAGGCGACGAUCCCUAGCUGGUCUGAGAGGAUGACCAGCCACACUGGAACUGAGACACGGUCCAGACUCCUACGGGAGGCAGCAGUGGGGAAUAUUGCACAAUGGGCGCAAGCCUGAUGCAGCCAUGCCGCGUGUAUGAAGAAGGCCUUCGGGUUGUAAAGUACUUUCAGCGGGGAGGCGUUACCCGCAGAAGAAGCACCGGCUAACUCCGUGCCAGCCGCCGCGGUAAUUC
rnacentral:rRNA from 1 species